AUUAUUGCUGAUUCUUACUGGGGUCGAUUUAGAGCUGUUGCCUUUGGAUCCAUCUCCACUCUUAUUGGAAUGAUUAUUCUAUGGCUCACAGCAAUGAUUCCCCAACUCAAGUCUUUACCCUGCUCUCAUUUCCAACAUGUUUGUAAUGGACCAACACUACUACAACUUGCUGUUCUGUUUUCAUCUUUUGGAUUUAUGUCCGUCGGAGCUGGUUUUGUUAGACCUUGUUCUAUAAUAUUUGGUGCUGAUCAAUUGGAAAAU